rnacentral:rRNA from 1 species
CCCUUAGACGUUCUGGGCCGCACGCGCGCUACACUGACGAAGGCAACGAGCUGCUCUUCACCGAAAGGUGUGGGUAAUCUUUUGAAACUUCGUCGUGCUGGGGAUAGAUCCUUGCAAUUUUUGAUCUUAAACGAGGAAUUCCUAGUAAGCGCAAGUCAUCAACUUGCGUUGAUUACGUCCCUGCCCUUUGUACACACCGCCCGUCGCUACUACCGAUUGAAUGGUUUAGUGAGGCCUUCGGAUCCGCGAUUUUAUUGUGGAGAAGUUGGACAAACUCAGUCAUUUAGAGGAAGUAAAAGUCGUAACA